CCUACGGGAGGCAGCAGUGGGGAAUCUUGCGCAAUGGGCGAAAGCCUGACGCAGCCACGCCGCGUGAAUGAUGAAGGUCUUAGGAUUGUAAAAUUCUUUCACCGGGGACGAUAAUGACGGUACCCGGAGAAGAAGCCCCGGCUAACUUCGUGCCAGCAGCCGCGGUAAUACGAAGGGGGCUAGCGUUGCUCGGAAUUACUGGGCGUAAAGGGAGCGUAGGCGGAUAGUUUAGUCAGAGGUGAAAGCCCAGGGCUCAACCUUGGAAUUGCCUUUGAUACUGGCUAUCUUGAGUAUGGGAGAGGUUAGCGGAACUCCGAGUGUAGAGGUGAAAUUCGUAGAUAUUCGGAAGAACACCAGUGGCGAAGGCGGCUAACUGGCCCAUUACUGACGCUGAGGCUCGAAAGCGUGGGGAGCAAACAGGAUUAGAUACCCUGGUAGUCCACGCCGUAAACGAUGAGUGCUAGUUGUCGGCAUGCAUGCAUGUCGGUGACGCAGCUAACGCAUUAAGCACUCCGCCUGGGGGAGGUACGGUCGCAGAAUAAACUACAAAGAAGUAGACGCGNGAGACGNGCCGACGACGACGACGAGGGAGAGG
rnacentral:rRNA from 1 species